AACGUACGCUGGCGGCACGCCUAACACAUGCAAGUCGAACGAAGUAGCAAUACUUAGUGGCAGACGGGUGAGUAACAUGUAGGUAUCUGCCCUUUGGCCUGGAAUAACACGAGGAAACUUGUGCUAAUACCGGAUAAGUCUUUACGGAGAAAGCUUUAUGCACCAUUGGAUGAGCCUGCACUUGAUUAGUUUGUUGGUGGGGUAAUGGCCUACCAAGACUGUGAUCAAUAGCUGAUUUGAGAGGAUGAUCAGCCACAUUGGGACUGAGACACGGCCCAAACUCCUACGGGAGGCAGCAGUGGGGAAUCUUGCACAAUGGAGGAAACUCUGAUGCAGCGAUGCCGCGUGAGUGAAGAAGGCCCUUGGGUUGUAAAGCUCUUUCGUCGGGGAAGAAAAUGACUGUACCCGAAUAAGAAGGUCCGGCUAACUUCGUGCCAGCAGCCGCGGUAAUACGAAGGGACCUAGCGUAGUUCGGAAUUACUGGGCUUAAAGAGUUCGUAGGUGGUUGAAAAAGUUAGUGGUGAAAUCCCAGAGCUUAACUCUGGAACUGCCAUUAAAACUUUUCAGCUAGAGUAUGAUAGAGGAAAGCAGAAUUUCUAGUGUAGAGGUGAAAUUCGUAGAUAUUAGAAAGAAUACCAAUUGCGAAGGCAGCUUUCUGGAUCAUUACUGACACUGAGGAACGAAAGCAUGGGUAGCGAAGAGGAUUAGAUACCCUCGUAGUCCAUGCCGUAAACGAUGUGUGUUAGACGUUGGAAAUUUAUUUUCAGUGUCGCAGGGAAACCGAUAAACACACCGCCUGGGGAGUACGACCGCAAGGUUAAAACUCAAAUGAAUUGACGGGGACCCGCACAAGUAGUGGAGCAUGUGGUUUAAUUCGAAGAUACGCGCAGAACCUUACCAACACUUGACAUGUUCGUCGCGACUCUAAGAGAUUAGAGUUUUCGGUUCGGCCGGACGAAACACAGGUGCUGCAUGGCUGUCGUCAGCUCGUGUCGUGAGAUGUUGGGUUAAGUCCCGCAACGAGCGCAACCCUCACUUUUAGUUGCCAUCAUUAAGUUGGGCACUCUGAAAGAACUGCCAGUGAUAAGCUGGAGGAAGGUGGGGAUGACGUCAAGUCCUCAUGGCCCUUACGUGUUGGGCUACGCACGUGCUACAAUGGUAUCUACAACAGGAAGCAAGACUGCGAAGUUAAGCAAAUCCCUAAAAGAUACCUCAGUUCGGAUUGCACUCUGCAACUCGAGUGCAUGAAGCUGGAAUUACUAGUAAUCGUGGAUCAGCGUGCCACGGUGAAUGCGUUCCCGGGUCU
rnacentral:rRNA from 1 species